AUGGGCCUGCGUCUGAUUAGUUAGUUGGUAGGGUAACGGCCUACCAAGGCAGCGAUCAGUAGCCGACCUGAGAGGGUGAUCGGCCACAUUGGAACUGAGACACGGUCCAAACUCCUACGGGAGGCAGCAGUGGGGAAUAUUGCACAAUGGGCGAAAGCCUGAUGCAGCAACGCCGCGUGAAGGAUGAAGGCCUUUGGGUCGUAAACUUCUGUCCUUGGGGAAGAAAAAAAUGACGGUACCCCUGGAGGAAGUCCCGGCUAACUACGUGCCAGCAGCCGCGGUAAUACGUAGGGGGCGAGCGUUAUCCGGAAUUAUUGGGCGUAAAGAGUACGUAGGUGGUUUUUUAAGCGCAGGGUUUAAGGCGAUGGCUCAACUGUCGUUCGCCCUGUGAACUGGAAGACUUGAGUACAGGAGAGGAAAGCGGAAUUCCUAGUGUAGCGGUGAAAUGCAUAGAUAUUAGGAGGAACACCAGUGGCGAAGGCGGCUUUCUGGACUGUAACUGACACUGAGGUACGAAAGCGUGGGUAGCAAACAGGAUUAGAUACCCUGGUAGUCCACGCCGUAAACGAUGAGCACUAGGUGUCGGGGUCGCAAGAUCUCGGUGCCGCAGUUAACGCAUUAAGUGCUCCGCCUGGGGAGUACGCACGCAAGUGUAAACUCAAAGGAAUUGACGGGGACCCGCACAAGCAGCGGAGCAUGUGGUUUAAAUCGAAGCAACGCGAAGAACCUUACCAGAACUUGACAUCCUCCUGACAGGCCUUUAAUCGGGCCCUCCUUUCGGACAGGAGAGACAGUGGUGCAUGGGUUGUCGUC
rnacentral:rRNA from 1 species